CUGGCAAUUGGCAAAGAGACACCUUGUGGUGGUGGUGGCUUUAGAUCAGUCAGAGGCAGUUCUUUGUUCAUCCUAGCUCAAUGCCUGGCUUGGUGGCCAAAGCUGUUUUAUGCCUAGGACACAUAA
ensembl:snoRNA LOC120101273 small nucleolar RNA SNORA48